rnacentral:rRNA from 1 species
UACAGAGGGUGCGAGCGUUAAUCGGAAUUACUGGGCGUAAAGCGCGCGUAGGCGGCUUUUCAAGUCGAUUGUGAAAUCCCCGGGCUCAACCUGGGAAUGGCGAUGAAGACUGCAAGGCUAGAAUCUGGCAGAGGGGGGUAGAAUUCCACGUGUAGCAGUGAAAUGCGUAGAGAUGUGGAGGAAUACCGGUGGCGAAGGCGGCAUCCUGGACCGGCAUUGACGCUGAUGAGCGAAAGCCAGGGGAGCAAACGGG